rnacentral:rRNA from 1 species
AUCCCAAAAAACACGCCCCAGUUCAGAUCGAAGGCUGCAACUCGCCUUCGUGAAGUUGGAAUCGCUAGUAAUCGCGGGUCAGCAACACCGCGGUGAAUGUGUUCCUGAGCCUUGUACACACCGCCCGUCAAGCCACGAAAGAGUAGAGCGCCCGAAGCCAUCUUUGCCGAUGUCGAAGGCGAAAUACUUGAUUGGGACUAAGUCGUAACAAGGUAACCGUAGGGGAACCUGCGGUUGGAUCACCUCCUUU